rnacentral:rRNA from 1 species
GUGGGGAAUUUUGGACAAUGGGCGAAAGCCUGAUCCAGCAAUGCCGCGUGCAGGAUGAAGGCCCUCGGGUUGUAAACUGCUUUUGUACGGAACGAAAAGCCUGGGGCUAAUAUCCCCGGGUCAUGACGGUACCGUAAGAAUAAGCACCGGCUAACUACGUGCCAGCAGCCGCGGUAAUACGUAGGGUGCAAGCGUUAAUCGGAAUUACUGGGCGUAAAGCGUGCGCAGGCGGUUUUGUAAGACAGUGGUGAAAUCCCCGGGCUCAACCUGGGAACUGCCAUUGUGACUGCAAGGCUAGAGUGCGGCAGAGGGGGAUGGAAUUCCGCGUGUAGCAGUGAAAUGCGUAGAUAUGCGGAGGAACACCGAUGGCGAAGGCAAUCCCCUGGGCCUGCACUGACGCUCAUGCACGAAAGCGUGGGGAGCAAACAGGAUUAGAAACCCCUGUAGUCC